CGACACUCGACAAUAGAAAAAACCCGGAAAGGCACUGGUAGCCAGAAGUUUUUUUUUUCUGGUAACAGCGUACAUGUACCUUAAGAGUGCAAUAAGAUCAGUGACAUUGGCUGCUCUUGAUUGAUUUGCUGUUCUCCAAUCUCGUAAUCGCAGUCUGAGUCAGUGAGGAUAAAAUCAUGGAGGUACUUAAAACUUGAAGGUAUCAAACACUUAAUCAUAAAUUCGUUGGCGUUUUUAAUGUUUAUUAAAAUGAUUCAUGGUCAUACUAAAAGGUCAUUUAGAACCGAGAUAUCGAAUAAAUAGUUACAUAAUUGGGGUUUUUUUCAAUAUUUUUAUUGGAAAAAUCUGUUUAAUGAAGCUCUCAGUACAUUGUCCUUUUACUUCAUGGCAGAUCCCUUUCUAAUACCAAGAUUACAAUCUAAUCCUUCCAGAACGCUCAGACCAACUCAAAUCACAUACAACGCGUUCUCGUACUUUAUAUGUCCAUCAUGUUGAGAAUAAUGGUACUGGCGGUGAUGACAGACAUAAUAUGUGGACAACCUGGUGUGAAAUCCGGCUCAUGCCCGGAUGUAAGCAUUCGUGGACGCUGUAGAAACGAGUGUGAGUUUGACACGGACUGUAAGGGCCAACUCAAGUGCUGUCAAGUUGCCUGUGACAACCAAAACUGGAUGUGUAUCGACCCCGAGUACACGCCUCACGUGGAUCCCACUGGCCCAUUUACAGGCAAAUAAUUGACCAAAAAUUAAACUUUAUUUCAUACCCUUGUUUUAGUUCAUUUCUUAUAUAUAUUGAUGGAUACACAAAUCAUGCAACAAUGUGAUUAUUAUUCCUCUUUUAUUUCAAAUCUAUCAAAGAAAAUGAGGUUUCUUUUCAAACUUAAAUAUUUGAUGAGAGAGUAGACACGCUUUCGACAAAUUUUUAAUAUUUUAAUUUUUAAAACGAAAUUUGGGCAAAAACUAGAUCAAUAACAAAGUGAAUGCUUCAUAAUGAAGGGCGCAUGGGGCGCUGCAUUGAAAAAAGUCACUGGUGUGUUAAGAACAAUAUUCCUCAAAAGUCUCUUGAAUCUUGGUUCUGUCGAUUUUUUGUCAUUAACAAUAGAAGCCAUUACAGACUGGUAAUAGAAUUACUUGAUGAAAGAAUCAAAAAGGUUAAAACAAAUCAUACACUGUAUUUGAUGUAUAAGUGUACACGAUCAUGUAUAUAUAGAUAUUUCCAUUACAUGUAUAUAUUUACAUUCAGUGUCUAUUUCCCCCUAUCUUGGCAUUGGAAAUCUGCGGCGUUCAAUUUUCAAUGAAUACAUUUUGAUAAUUUAUUCGCCAUGUGCACAGAUAAAUACGUCUCCACGUGUUUUGAGUAUACUUAUAUUUGUAAGAUUAAAUGAAACUUUCAAUCUAACAUAAACAAUUUGAUAUGUACUUUUGAAGAAAAAAAUCAUAAAUAUAUAU